AGUAGUUUUCCUGUGUUUUGUCACCUCAUCUCUUGAUGUGUAUCAGUUCAGGAGUGUUAAUAGGAGUGUUAAUAUGUUAAUAUGUUUUAUGGAAAAAAUAGUUACAAUUUAAAUAGCCUACCUGACAACAUGUAGGCCUACUGAUUAGUAACUUUGAAAACUGCUGUCUGUCAGCAACUCAGCUCAAGUAGCAGUUCUACUAACUAGUAAUAUCUCAUUCCAGGUAUUCAUUCUCUUACUCUGUCCAUUAGAAUAAAUUAUUGUUCAGAAAUACUUUAUUUUUCAGUUCUCUCCAUAUAGUGUUUUCUGCUCUGUCGUCUCAAAAUGGAUCCUGAACAAAAUAACAACUUUACUUUGUGUUUCAGCUCAGCCGUCUCCCCACCCUGAUAAUAAAGUGUUUUAUUGGUAUCUUCCACUAGAUGGCAGUAAACACCUGCUGUAACUAGACUUUACAACUAUGUGUUCGGUUUUAUACAGGCAGUGUCCCAGAGGAGGAGUGCUGAUCUAGGAUCAGGUCCCCCCUCUCCAUGUAAUCUGAUUCAUUAUAAUCUAGGAUCAGGUCCCCCCUCUCCAUGUAAUCUGAUUCAUUAUGAUCUAGGAUCAGGUCCCUCCUCUCCAUGUAAUCUGAUUCAUUAUAAUCUAGGAUCAGGUCCCCCCUCUCCAUGUAAUCUGAUUCAUUAUGAUCUAGGAUCAGGUCCCUCCUCUCCCUGUAAUCUGAUUCAUUAUAAUCUGGGAUCAGGUCCCCCUCUCCAUGUCAUCUGAUUCAUUAUGAUAUAAGAUCAGGUCCCCCCUCUCCAUGUAAUCUGAUUCAUUAUGAUCUAGGAUCAGGUCCCCUCCUCUCCAUGUAAUCUGAUUCAUUAUGAUCUAGGAUCAGGUCCCCCUCUCCAUGUAAUCUGAUUCAUUAUGAUCUAGGAUCAGGUCCCCUCCUCUCCAUGUAAUCUGAUUCAUUAUGAUCUGGGAUCAGGUCCCUCCUCUCCAUGUAAUCUGAUUCAUUAUGAUCUAGGAUCAGGUCCCUCCUCUCCAUGUAAUCUGAUUCAUUAUGAUCUAGGAUCAGGUCCCUCCUCUCCAUGUAAUCUUAUUCAUUAUGAUCUAGGAUCAGGUCCCCUCCUCUCCAUGUAAUCUGAUUCAUUAUGAUCUAGGAUCAGGUCCCUCCUCUCCAUGUAAUCUGAUUCAUUAUAAUCUAGGAUCAGGUCCCCUCCUCUCCAUGUAAUCUGAUUCAUUAUAAUCUGGGAUCAGGUCCCUCCUCUCCAUGUAAUCUGAUUCAUUAUGAUCUAGGAUCAGGUCCCUCCUCUCUAUGUAAUCUGAUUCAUUAUGAUCUAGGAUCAGGUCCCUCCUCUCCAUGUAAUCUGAUUCAUUAUGAUCUAAAAGGCUAAACUGACCCUAGAUCAGCUCUCCUGCUCUUUAUGAAUACUGUCACAGGUGACUCCUCAAGAUCAGGCUCGUGAUGUAUAAGUUCUAUUCUUUAAGAAUCAAUUACUAUCAUUCAUUGAACUGCUUUGCCAUGAACAGAUCUGUGAGGUCUUAACUUAAAGGUACUUUAUAGAUCUUAUGGUCAUUUUAAUGGGGUUGAACAUCCAUCCAAUCAGAUUGUGUAAAGGAUUUUAUGAGUUCAGAAAAAUAGCAACUUGGAAGCAUCUCUCUGACCUCACCCUGCUGAAACACACUCAAGUAAAGACCACAUAUCUACAGUUAAAUGCUUGUCUGUUUCUACCCACUUUUACAGCCAAUGUAUGGACUGGUAUCCAUAUGAAUCAGUAGAAUAUACAGACCAGUUAACCACCUCUCAGUAGAUGGACCCACACAGAACUUUAUAUAUACAGACUAGUUAACCACCUCCCAGUAGAUGGAACACAGAACUUUAUAUAUACAGACCAGUUAACCACCUCCCAGUAGAUGGACCCACAC
rnacentral:lncRNA from 1 species